CUGCCGCCGCCGCUCUCGGCGGCACUGGCGGGGCGGCGGCGGGAGCGGGAGGCUGCCGAGGAUAUCAAACUGGCUUAGGUCCACGAAGACUGUGCUGGUGUCAAGCUGCUUCUGACUUGCCUCCAGGUCUCAGGAGGAAAGGUACAGUUAACAGGGAGCUGGAGCCGUCCAUUUCUGCACUGUCAGCCACCGUGUAGGCCAUGAAUGGGCUCUGCAUCCUCCCUCUGAAUUGCAGAUUUCUCACUCUGUACCAUCCUAAAGGAGGGCUGGUUUUCGUCUACACUGAUCCCACUCAUC